rfam:Mycobacterium sp. YC-RL4, complete genome.
AGCGUUUUUCGCGGCGGCGGAGGUCGACCGCCGACUUCGGUGAUCGUCGAGUACAUCGACGCUCAUCGUCACCGGUUCGGGGUCGACCCGAUCUGCACCGUGCUUUCGAGCUACGGCGUCAAGAUCGCCCCG